CACGAAGGGGGCUAGCGUUGUUCGGAAUUACUGGGCGUAAAGCGCGCGCAGGCGGUUCUUCAAGUCAGAGGUGAAAGCCCAGAGCUCAACUCUGGAAUGGCCUUUGAGACUAGAGAACUAGGGUACGGGAGAGGUGAGUGGAAUUCCGAGUGUAGAGGUGAAAUUCGUAGAUAUUCGGAAGAACACCAGUGGCGAAGGCGAACACACUGGCCCGUUACUGACGCUGAGGCGCGAAAGCUA
rnacentral:rRNA from 1 species